UACGUAGGGUGCAAGCGUUAAUCGGAAUUACUGGGCGUAAAGCGUGCGCAGGCGGCUUUGCAAGACAGAUGUGAAAUCCCCGGGCUCAACCUGGGAACUGCAUUUGUGACUGCAAGGCUAGAGUGCGGCAGAGGGGGAUGGAAUUCCGCGUGUAGCAGUGAAAUGCGUAGAUAUGCGGAGGAACACCGAUGGCGAAGGCAAUCCCCUGGGCCUGCACUGACGCUCAUGCACGAAAGCGUGGGGAGCAAACAGG
rnacentral:rRNA from 1 species